rnacentral:rRNA from 1 species
GACGAACGCUGGCGGCGUGCUUAACACAUGCAAGUCGAACGGAAAGGCCCUGCUUUUGUGUGGUGCUCGAGUGGCGAACGGGUGAGUAACACGUGAGUAACCUGCCCUUGACUUUGGGAUAACUUCAGGAAACUGGGGCUAAUACCGGAUAGGAGCUCCUGCUGCAUGGUGGGGGUUGGACAGUUUCGGCGGUUGGGGAUGGACUCGCGGCUUAUCAGCUUGUUGGUGGGGUAGUGGCUUACCAAGGCUUUGACGGGUAGCCGGCCUGAGAGGGUGACCGGCCACAUUGGGACUGAGAUACGGACCAGACUCCUACGGGAGGCAGCAGUGGGGAAUAUUGCACAAUGGGCGGAAGCCUGAUGCAGCAACGCCGCGUGCGGGAUGACGGCCUUCGGGUUGUAAACCGCUUUCGCCUGUGACGAAGCGUGAGUGACGGUAAUGGGUAAAGAAGCACCGGCUAACUACGUG